AAAACAUAAAAAAUAAAAAUGAGUUUAUACAAUAGAUUAAAGAUUCAAAGUGUUUAUUGUCAUGUGUACAGAGGAAAUAGUAUUUCUCUGUGCAAUGAAAUUCUCCCUUUGCUGUCCAAACAUAAAUGCCAAGUUAGGUUGAAGGAACAAGAUAAAUAAGGAUAAAAAUAAUUAAAGAUAAAUAAAUGAGUGCAAAAAUAAGUAAGACAAGCGAGGUAUGCAGAUGUCGAUGUAGAUGGAUGUACAAAGGAGCUUAAUGUGCAAAAUGAACUUAAUGUGCAACAACAUACUCAAUAAAGUGGAAAAUAACAGACUUAUCUCCAAAAUAAUAUUAUUUCUGGAGUUAUGGUGCAGGUUUGAAUACGUUGAUAGUUCUAUAUUUUUGCAGUGAGGGUCGACACUGUGUGACAUCUGGCGCUAAUUUUAACAAGAUCAUCUUUGGCAGCGGCACUAAAUUAUUCAUUAAUGACAGUAAGUUUAAUUCUGUUCUUUCAGUGGUGAAAAACUCAGUACAUGAAAAAACAACUACUUUGUUUAUUCAUUCAGAGUAUUACGAAUUCUACAAAAUGCAAAACACCAAAGAAAUAUUAUGAUUACUGCUAAUAUUUAAAUGUAACUUUGAUGCUUUGUAUUAAAAUAUACAAACUUUCAACUUCACUGUAAUUUAAAAAGCAGCACUGCACAGAAGGAUUGUAGAUAAUAACAGAUGAGAAUGGCUCAUCUCCCAAAUUAUUAUUAUUAUUGUUGUUAUUGUUGUUGUUAUUGUUGUUGUUAUUGGGUUACAGUGCAGGUUUGAGUCGGUCUGUGUAGUUGUAGAUUUUUGCACUGAGGCUUGACACUGUGUGACAUCUGGCUCUGGUUUAACCAAGAUCAUCUUUGGACGUGGGACUAAGCUUUUCAUUAACGACAGUAAGUUCAGUGCAGAAACGAGUUUAUCUUACUUACACAUGUACAAGCAGACAUGAUGCUUGGGUUGUCUUGUAUAUUUGAUGUGCACGCACAGCUGCUCCUUGUUUUAUAUCCAGACUUAUUAUCUCAGUGAGGAAUACAAACAAAAAGAAUGUAAAUCACCUCAGUGAUGCAGAACCAAAGUAACAGAGUGAUAUAGUAACUAUUAGAGUAACAUUGUAGUCACAUUAUAUUCAGACUCUCUGUAUCCAUUUGAAUGGGAUUAACGGUAUUUUAGGCUGUAUUUGUAAGUAAGUCAGGUUAAUGUGCUGAGGCUGCAGACUGUGGGACAUACGGCAGUGGGAACUACAAGGUGAUCUUUGGCAGUGGCGCUCAAUUAUUCAUUAAUGACAGUAAGUUCAAUUCUUUGGUUUAGUGGUGAAACACUGAGUGUGUGAAAAAACAACUUUAAUUAUUCAUUAAAAAUCCUACAAAGUGCAAAAACAAGUUAACAUCAGCAUCUUAAAUGCAGCGUUUUCAUCUAAAGUAUCAAAUGUAAAAACAUGGUUGUGUGAAUGGAGCCUGGUUCAGUUUGUCACUGGUUUUGGUCCCAGUGCUUCGUGCUGUGUGAACACUGGUACAAAUAAGAUCACCUUUGGAAGCGGCACCAGCCUGAUGAUUGAACCCAGUAAGUGCAUGAAAGGAUCACACAGAAACAUUGUUAUUACUGCAAAUCUUUGGACUAAUGCAUUGUUAUUGAAAGAUACACAUUUAUAACGUCACUGUAAUGUAAACAGCAGCACUGCCCUCCAGAAGUUUGUUCAUUUGGAAAUCUUUGAGAGCAAAGUAGAGACAGAUUUUAUCGGCUUUAUUGAUUAACUGAAAGUGAAACUUGUUAAAAUGUAGCUUUAAAAAGGUCAUGAUGACAUUGAUGUUUCCACUUCAACUUUGAAGUUGAUGUUUUUGGUUAUUUUUUGGUUAUUUUGGAAACACUGAGUGCGUCAGGUUUAUGCGCUGCAGCUUCAUACUGUGUGACAUACAGCAGUGGUAGCAACAAGAUUAUCUUUGGACGUGGGACUAAACUCUACGUUACUGACAGUAAGUUCAGUUCAGUUCUUUUAGUGAUGGAAACCCAAGUACAUGAAGUAUGAAGUGAUAUACAUCAUCAAUGCACCUUGACUGAUGAUUACUCACAUGUGGAUCAUAAAACAAAUGUUCAAAAGUUUUUAAAAUCAAUAUUUUAAUGGUGUAUAAUAACUAAACAGCAGGUCAAAGGUCACAUAAUGCAGUUUGGAUGAGUUUAUCACUGUGUUUUGGCUCUGCUGCUUCAUGCUGUGUGAAUACUGGAAGCAGGUUCAUCUUUGCAAAGGGAACCAGAUUAAAUGUUGAGCCCAGUAAGUAAAUCUAACAUUCAUCAUUUAAUAUAUCAAUACUUGCAUACAUACAUAUGUCUGUGCAAACUCACUUUAAAUGUAGUGAAACUUUUAAAGACAUCCACUAAACCAAACGAGAAACCAGUUUAUUUGAAAACAUUAAAAUAAGCUGAAUCUGUGCAUGUUGAAUGUGCAUUAAACAAAGACACAUCAGUGCAGUACAAACACGUCUAACUUACAUCUACUGCAUAUUUCAGCAAAGAAUGUGUUUAUUAGUUUCAUUAAAUGUAAUUAUUUAGACAAAAGGAUUCAAUAUAAAACUAAAUCAGUAUUAAUGAAUAAACACUGUGCUGCAGUCAGUCAGGUUAAUGUGCUGAGGCUGCAGACUGUGGGACAAACACUGGUGGGAACUACAGGGUGAUCUUUGGCAGUGGCACUCAAUUAUUCAUUAAUGACAGUAAGUUCAACUCUUUGGUUUAGUGGUGAAACACUGAGUGCAUGAAAAGAAAAAAGACAAAUUUUAUUAUCCAAUCAAAGUAUAAAAAUCAUUCAAAGUGCAAAAAAAAAAGUCAAAUCAACAUCUUAAAUGAAAUUUAAAGUUACAAUUUACAGACAGGACUUUCCUGUAAAGUAUCAAAUGUAAAAACAUGGUUGUGUGAAUGGUUUAGUUUUGGUCUCAGUGCUUCGUGCUGUGUGAACACUGGUACAAAUAAGAUCACCUUUGGAAGCGGCACCAGCCUGAUGAUUGAACCCAGUAAGUGUAUGAAAGGAUCACCCAGAAACAUUGUUAUUACUGCAAACACUUUGAUUAACGUUAAUGCUUUUUAUUGAUAGAUAAUAUAAACAGCAGCACUGCCCUCCAGAAGUUUGUUAUUUUGGAAAUCUUUGAGAGCAAAGAAGAGACAGAUUUUAUCGGCUUAACCUGACUCGAUCUUGUUGAAGAUUUAGCUUUAAAAAGGUGAUGAUGACACUGAUGUUUCCACUUUGUUUGGGCAACUUUAAAGUUGAUGUUUUCGGUUAUUUUUGAACCCCUCUAUAUUUCACCAAGAAUUUGCUUGUUAGUAUAAAUAAAUGUAAUUAUUUAAACAAAAAGAUUUAAUAUAAAAUGAAACAGUAUUAAUGCUUUUCAUAAACACUGUCAGUUUGCUGCAGUCAGUCAGGUUAAUGUGCUGAGGCUGCAGACUGUGGGACAUACAGCGGGAGUGCAAACAAGGUUAUCUUUGGACGCGGCACCAAACUAUAUGUUAAUGACAGUAAGUCAGUUUGUGUUUCUGCAUAAUAAAUAUGUUCAAAGUGUUAAAGCUCAAUGCAAAUACAUCUUGUAAGUAAUGUAAAGUUUAUAUUUAUAAUAUACAAGCAAUAGUAGGAAAAACUGACUGCAGGUUUUUCUAUGGACACAUAAAAUAUGUAAGAUUACUUUGAUUGAAACUUAAAUCCGGUUCCCUUCAGUAGAACAUCAGACAGCAGAAUAAUAUUUUACCUUUUGUUUGUGAGUUAAAGAAGUUUAUGAAACCAAAGUUGUUUUCCUUCAUAUUGUAAAUAAGAUGCAGAUCUUGAACAAUGACAAUUACACAAUGAGAGCUAACUGUUGUGUUACAAAGUUGUUCUGAGUAGUGAAGGGCCACUGCUGGGUUUUUGUUGUGUAGCAUCACAUUGUGUGUCUACUGGGAAUCAGUUUAAACUCCUUUUUGGAACUGGAACCAGAUUACUGAUUGAACCCAGUAAGUACCGCUAUUGAUAAAUAAUAAUAAGCAAAUACAGUUUGUUAAGGAAAGGUUGCUAUAAAAAUACAAACAAAUAAAACCUUAUUUCAAACUUAUAUUAGCUGAAUAUUCUUCACCAGUCUCACAUGUGAACGGCUUUGAGUUUGUGUAACAGAGUUUCACUGUGUGUGACUCAAAAUACAAACAAGCUCAUCUUUGGACGUGGAACCAGAUUAACCAUCCAAACCUGUAAGUUUAUUGUUCAUGUAUAUGAGUGCAAGUAAACCAAUAAUAAUCUAAUAAGCAACAAAAGGAUAGCUGCUAACUCUCUGACCUCCAAUUGUUUCGUAGAAACUGAAAAGUGAUUAAAAUGUAAAACUAAUGUUUAAGUUUAAAUUUGCACUAAACUGAACAAUUUUACACCAAUUUGACAGAAAAACCAAACACUCGUACAAAAAGCUCAUCAGAGUCGAAUUUAUUCUCUGAACGGAGUUUGAUUCAGUUUGUGUGAGGGAGCGUCAUGCUGUGUGAAUGCUGGCUUACAGAAACUUACCUUUGGAAGAGGAACCAGACUAAAUAUUGAACAAAGUAAGUAAAAAGUAAACAUUUAGAAUCAUAUUUUUAAUACAAAAGCAGGUUACGCAGGAAAUUCCCUAAAGAUGAAGCAGAUAUGUCAGUGUCAGUGGCUGACGUGCUGAAAUUUGAACAUUUGUCAAUUUAAAAAGAAAUCUUACCCAAAGCACAUUUACUUUGAAAUACAAAAAUAAGAUACAAAAUGAAAGUGGAUGUUAUGACUUUACACAGUAUUUCUACUAAAUAUAGAUGCAUAAUAUAAUAUAAUAUAAAUACAGUUUUGACAUAUCCUCACUCUGAGAGGAGAAAAAGCAUUUCUAAAGGCGUCUGAUGUUACAGCACAGUUUAUGUGCUGGAGCGUCAUGUUGUGUGAAAACUGGAGGUGGUUAUAAGAUCAUUUUUGGAAGUGGAACCAGAUUAACCACUGAACCCAGUAAGUGCUGAUAUAUGUUUUAAUGGUUUAGCAUGAAAUAUGCUUAGAAAUUGUUUUUACCUUUAAACAAACAAACAAACAAACAAACAAACAAACAAACAAACAAACAAACAAACAAACAAACAAACAAACAAACAGUAGCCAAGUUUGUGUGUAGUUGCGGUAUUAUAAUAAUCACUUUUAAAAGUUACAAUUUGAAGUAACUUGAGUGGAAUUGAUUAAAAAAAAUAUAAUGUUUGAAAAUCAUUUUAGAAAUAAUUGAGUAAACAAGUCAGCCGUGUGUUUAAAGAAGGAUGAGUUAGAAGACAAACAAGUAAAGUUAGUUGAGUCUUUUCAUUCAAAUUGUUUUAACUGUUGUUGGCUCAUGUCAGUUACUGGUUUGUGUGCUGGUGUGUCAUGUUGUGUGACUAAUUCAAACCAGAAUAAGCUGAUCUUUGGAAGAGGGAUCAGAUUAACAGCUGAGCCCAGUAAGUGCUUUGACAUCGAUUAUAAUUAUUAUUUAUAUUAUUAUAGAGAUGCCUCUGACAGCAGCACUGAGUGCAGUUUAUCUGUAAUAAAUUCAAACCACUGUUAACAUCAGUUAAGUACAUUUAGCUUUACUGUAGAAACACUUUAGUACAAUUGCUUUCAUGAAACUGUAAAAUGUUACUGGUUUCUAUGUGUUUGGUUCAGUUCCUUACUGGGACUUUGUGUAAUGAGGGUUCAUGCUGUGUGACAUCUGGUGCAAAUCAGUAUAAGAUAUUCUUUGGCAGUGGAACCCGGCUAAACGCUGAAGCCAGUAAGUUUUCAUAUUAAUAAUAAUAAUAGUAAAACCAUAUAACCAGUAACAUAACACUGUUGUGGAAAACACAAUGUCAUCAUAUUUGCAGGAUAAAGUACAGUCACUCAUAUAUAUAUUAUAAAGCUUUUACUCAAUGAAUUUGCAUUAAUCUUUGGAUUAAAAAACUAAAUAAAUAUAUGAAAUUAUUAUUUUUUAAAUGACACUAAAAUAGAUCCACAGCUAAUUUAUUUGAUGGAGUUCAUGUUGGGUUACUACUAUAAAUACAAUUAUUUUGGAGUGUGAAUCACACACUCCAUGAUACAAAAUCUAAAAAAGCUCACAUCUUAAUAUGAAAAAUUAAAAUUUCUAUAUUCUGCAAAUACGGAUCACAGAGUUUAUGUUAUGAAGCUUCAUGCUGUGUGAAUACUGGCAAUGCUUAUAGGAUCUUGUUUGGGAGUGGGACCAGAUUAAUCAUUGAAACCAGUAAGUAAUUACAUGUAGUGGAACAUGAUUUUAUUUAUGUAUUUAUAUUUAAAUCGAAUCAUAUUUAAACACAGUGCAUGCUGAUGGACUGAUUGAUUAAAACCUAAUUAUACGUGAAUCAUGACCAGCAUCACCAGUGCAACCAUGUGGGGUCAAAGAACAGAGCAACAUGUAAAAACAUGUGAGAGGAUCUCGAUGAUUUAAUCACGUCUGAAUAUGAAUGUUUAGAGUUCACGUCUCAGUUCGGAUCUUUAGCUCUGCUCAGUUUGUGUUAUGGAGCUUCUUGUUGUGUGACUGGUGCAAAUCAGAAUAAGAUCUUCUUUGGGAGAGGAAUCACACUGACUGUUGAAUCCAGUGAGUAAAAGAAACAUUUCAUAUAAAUCAUAAACUAUAUCACACCUUAUUCUGACUGAACAUAGUGUUCAUGUUAAAGUUUUAACGUCUCAUCUGAGUUUCAUCAAAAGUACAAUAAAUACAGUUUGUUUGACUCUUAUCUUUGACCUGAAAAAAGAAUUUAGUGAUAUAAAAAUAACUAAUUUUAGUAUCAGCUGUACAUCAUAAAUCUAAGCUUGCAGAUUUUUACUGCAGUUAUUUUAAUGAAAACAUCAACGUGUUUGCGAAACAUGAAAAUCCUGUUUGGUUUAGCUGUUUGUGUUACUGAGCUUCAUGCUGUGUGAAUGUUGGUGGAACUAAGAUGACAUUUGGACGAGGAAGCAGAUUAUUGAUUGAACCCAGUGAGUACUGUUAUUGAUUAUAAUCAGUGUUAAAAUGACAACUGUAAAUAUAAAAUAAUUAAAAUAACAACGUAAUCACUGGGACACAAACAAAAGCUCAGUUCACUUUAAAAUUCUAUAUACACGUGAUAUAUUUGAUGGAGAGAUUUUAUAACAACAAAUCUGCAAAUGCAUUUGAAUAUUGAAUAAUCUGACACAGUUCAUGUCACAAAAAUGCAAAUCACACGUUUCCUUUUAUGGACUCACGUCAGCAAGUCAAACGUAUAAGAUAUAAUGAGCUCUUUGAAAAAACAAAACAUUUCCAGUUAUUUGGUGUCAGUGUUAGAAAUGGACUCUUAAGGCUAACGACUGUUCUGUUACACACAACGCUUGUAACAUGAAAACAGCAACAACAAUUGUAAAAGAUAAAAAUCAGCAGCACCCAGCUAAAAUAUUUAUGUAAACUCGUAAGACGAUAAGUUCUGUAAGAGAUAUUUUUCAUGAUCUUCCUGAGCUGAGUCAAAGUCAGUGGUGAGUUUGUGUUGUGGGUCGUUAUGUUGUGUGACAUCUAGCAGUGGAUACAAGCUUAUCUUUGGAAGUGGAACCAGAUUAACUGUUGAACCAAGUAAGUAACUUGACUCAGGAAAUAUCAAGCUGAGAGACUGAAAAUGUCAGUAAAUUAGAAUAUAUGGUUUUGUGUUUGCUAAAAGUCAGGAUAAGAUCUUCUUUGGAAGUGGAACUAAAACUAUCAUUGAAACCAUUUCAAUUCUGAUAUUUAUGAAAAUCAGGGUUAAUAUAUGUCUCAC